GGGCGUUAAGUUGCAGGGUAUAGACCCGAAACCCGGUGAUCUAGCCAUGGGCAGGUUGAAGGUUGGGUAACACUAACUGGAGGACCGAACCGACUAAUGUUGAAAAAUUAGCGGAUGACUUGUGGCUGGGGGUGAAAGGCCAAUCAAACCGGGAGAUAGCUGGUUCUCCCCGAAAGCUAUUUAGGUAGCGCCUCGUGAAUUCAUCUCCGGGGGUAGAGCACUGUUUCGGCAAGGGGGUCAUCCCGACUUACCAACCCGAUGCAAACUGCGAAUACCGGAGAAUGUUAUCACGGGAGACACACGGCGGGUGCUAACGUCCGUCGUGAAGAGGGAAACAACCCAGACCGCCAGCUAAGGUCCCAAAGUCAUGGUUAAGUGGGAAACGAUGUGGGAAGGCCCAGACAGCCAGGAUGUUGGCUUAGAAGCAGCCAUCAUUUAAAGAAAGCGUAAUAGCUCACUGGUCGAGUCGGCCUGCGCGGAAGAUGUAACGGGGCUAAACCAUGCACCGAAGCUGCGGCAGCGACACUGUGUGUUGUUGGGUAGGGGAGCGUUCUGUAAGCCUGUGAAGGUGU
rnacentral:rRNA from 1 species